ACAGAAAAAACACAGUAAUUAGAGUUUAACACUGAAGCUGUUAAGGAAACAUUUUUGUUUUUAGGUA
rnacentral:tRNA from 1 species